GAAAGGAAGGCUAGGACCUGAAGGUUUUAUUUGCUUUCUCUGAUUUUUCAGAACGUAUUCAUGUACAUAAUCCCUGAUUUAAAAGUUGAUUGGUUUGAGCUUAAGCAAAAUGAAAAUAGCUCUUGUUUCCUCUUUGCCAUUCCGAGUCUUUGGUUUCAGUUAUGAGGUUGAUUGAGGUGAUCGUCGAGAUCGUUGACUGCUCGUGAGGUUUAAGUCCGUUUGUUCCGAAUCAUUUUUUAUUGCGGUUUGUUCGUUUGCUUCUGGAUGCACGAAUUUCGGCGUCGGAUUUGCUUGUAAUGGCUUCUGAACAAGGUUAAUCGAAAGUUUAAUUCAGCUAUUGUUCACGUCAAUUUGCUGCUGUUGUUCGUUGAAUGCUUGUUGAGUACGAUCCGAUCCGGUUGUAGUCAUAGUUGAAGAGUCGAGUCUGUGUCGUUGAGGUUUCGGAUUUGAGAUUGAACAUCCGUCGUGUGAACUCGAGAUCUUGUGAAUCAGAAAGUGUAGCUGCUUGAGUUAGAUUUUUGGGCUCGAUUCGAAGUCACUGUCCGAGGUUCAAUCCGGGCAGAUUCGCGCCUGGUUCAACCGUGGCCGCUCGACGUCGAGGUCCGGUGCGUCGAGGUCGUACGACGAGGAAGAAGAUUGAUCUUCAGAUCUGCUCGGCCCAAAAUUGCGAUUUGGAAUGUCAGUCUUAAAUUUAGGAGGACGUUCAUGAAGAAUAUUACACUUAUCUCCAUAAGAGGGGCUCACACAAAUCUUCAAAACUAUGGCUUUGGAUACAUG
rnacentral:lncRNA from 1 species